GAUGAAGAACGCAGCGAAAUGCGAAAAGUAGUGUGAAUUGCAGAAUUCAGUGAAUCAUCGAAUCUUUGAACGCACAUUGCGCCCCUUGGUAUUCCGAAGGGUAUGCUCGUUUGAGUGUCAUUGUACUCUCACACUCUCCGAUCCUAUGGAUUCGGGGAGCGGUGGACUUGGGUGUUGCUGCCUUUCCCUGUGGCUCACCUCAAAUGCGUCAGUGCACCUCUUGGUUGGACAUAGUACGGCGUGAUAAGUGUCUUCGCCGGCACCUCGCAAGAGGGUGGCCGAUCGGGAGCUCUGCGCUUUCAAACCGUCUUCGGACAAUUUCUGACAUCUUGACCUCAAAUCGAGUAGGACUACCCGCUGAACUUAAGCAUAUCAAUAAGCGGAGGA
rnacentral:misc_RNA from 1 species